rnacentral:antisense_RNA from 1 species
GUUUGGAAGUGUGGUUUUUGGAAUCCAGAGUAGUCGCCUCGUUCUAGUAUCCAAUUGCUCCAGCACCAAUUGGUGAAAAGACCAUCGUUCUUCUACUCAGUCGCAUUUGAAGCUUUGUCAAAAACCAGACACAAUUGGAGACACAGGUUCUUUUAUCAAGGCCUUGACUGGAAUGGCAUAUUUUCAGAUAUGACCACAUUGCUUUGAGGAAAUGAGGUUGAUGUUGUAGAGCUGAUAAAACCCCCACGGAAAGGCCAGCCUACCUCUGAACAGGGUCAUGCCCUUCCAACACUCCCAUCCUGAUGGCUGGAAUAUGGACAUGAGGGUGAACCACCUUGGACCAUGUGAAACAGGGUAACACUCCAAGGGCAGUAGAACAGGAAGACAACAAGCCUGGGUCUCAGAUAACUUUAUAGAUCAGGAUCCACGUAAAAGAUUGGACUUUUAUAUGAGAAAUCCUUUUAAAGAUCUAUAAGGUCUCUCUUGCAUACAACCAACUUAUGUGCUAACUAAUGUAUAAAGUGAGAGAAAACCUCGUCCUAUGACAUAUUCUCUGUACUAAUAAAGCCUUGAAGACAUUGACACUCUGGAUCAGGCUGUGCCUUGA